AGUGGGGAAUAUUGCACAAUGGGCGCAAGCCUGAUGCAGCCAUGCCGCGUGUGUGAAGAAGGCCUUCGGGUUGUAAAGCACUUUCAGUCGUGAGGAAGGUAGUGUAGUUAAUAGCUGCAUUAUUUGACGUUAGCGACAGAAGAAGCACCGGCUAACUCCGUGCCAGCAGCCGCGGUAAUACGGAGGGUGCGAGCGUUAAUCGGAAUUACUGGGCGUAAAGCGCAUGCAGGUGGUUAGUUAAGUCAGAUGUGAAAGCCCGGGGCUCAACCUCGGAACUGCAUUUGAAACUGGCUAACUAGAGUACUGUAGAGGGGGGUAGAAUUUCAGGUGUAGCGGUGAAAUGCGUAGAGAUCUGAAGGAAUACCGGUGGCGAAGGCGGCCCCCUGGACAGAUACUGACACUCAGAUGCGAAAGCGUGGGGAGCAAA
rnacentral:rRNA from 1 species